CCUACGGGGGACUGCAGUGGGGAAUAUUGGGCAAUGGGCGCAAGCCUGACCCAGCAACGCCGCGUGAAGGAAGAAGGCUCUCGGGUUGUAAACUUCUUUUAUGAGGGAAGAGCAGAAGACGGUACCUCUUGAAUAAGCCACGGCUAACUACGUUCCAGCAGCCGCGGGAAUACGUAGGUGGCAAGCGUUUUCCGGAUUUACUGGGGGUAAAGGGCGUGCAGCCGGGAAGGCAAGUCAGAUGUGAAAACCCGCGGCUCAACCGCUGAACUGCAUUUGAAACUGUUGUUCUUGAGUACCGGAGAGGUCAGCGGAAUUCCGUGUGUAGCGGUGAAAUGCGUAGAUAUAAGGAAGAACACCAGUGGCGAAGGCGGAUGGCUGGAC
rnacentral:rRNA from 1 species